UCUGGUGCCAGCAGCCGCGGUAAUUCCAGCUCCAAUAGCGUAUAUUAAAGUUGUUGCAGUUAAAAAGCUCGUAGUUGAAUUUCGGAGUUUGUCGGUUGGUCGGGCUUCACUGUCCGCACUGGCCUGAUGGAUUCCUACCUUCUGAAUAACCGGCAUGCUAUUAAUUUAGUGCGUUGGGGAAGCAGAGCUAUUACCUUGAAAAAAUUAGAGUG
rnacentral:rRNA from 1 species